GAUGAACGCUGGCGGCGUGCCUAACACAUGCAAGUCGAGCGGCAGCGAGGGGUGCUUGCACCCUGUCGGCGAGCGGCGGACGGCUGAGUAACGCGUGGGAACGUGCCCCAAAGUGCGGAAUAACUGCCCGAAAGGGUAGCUAAUACCGCAUAUUAUCUUCGGAUCAAAGGAUUUAUCCGCUUUGGGAGCGGCUCGCGUCGGAUUAGGUAGUUGGUGAGGUAAUGGCUCACCAAGCCGACGAUCCGUAGAUGGUCUGAGAGGAUGACCAGCCAGACUGGAACGGAGACACGGUCCAGAAUCCUACGGGAGGCAGCAGUGAGGAAUCUUCCACAAUGGGCGAAAGCCUGAUGGAGCAACGACGCGUGCAGGACGAAGGCCUUCGGGUUGUAAACUGCUUUUAUAAGUGAGGAAUAUGACGGUAACUAAUGAAUAAGGAUCGGCUAACUACGUG
rnacentral:rRNA from 1 species